UUCUCUACCUAAUUUUGUUGAACUUAAACAAAUUUGAUUCAAUAAUUCUUUGGUUUGUUGAUGAAUUAGACAAUUAGUUGAUUUCAUUGUUAAUUUGGCGAAGACUUCGGAGGUCUCGUCGAGUCGUCGUCAUGGAGAAUUCGGUUUGAACAACCAUUUGAAUACAAUAAAGAUAUCUUCCUUGAUUCAAAUUUAUCUCUAGAAAAAUAAAAGUUUUAAAAUUGCUUUACAUUAGAGUUCCAAAUUUUCAAUAUUAUCACAGGAUAUAAAUUGUUGAGUUGUGCAAAAACAUAAAGCUACAGAAUAUUUUGUGUUUUUUUUUCUUCAACUGUUUAUACAGUAAAAAAAUUAUGUGGUAUUUUUGGUUAUUUUUAUUUUUGUGAAAUUGCAAAUGCUAUGCCUUUUAUUAGGUUAAUAUAUUCCUAAUUUCCCGUUUGUAAUUAGUCGUAAUAUUUACUUUUUUAAACCUUUGUUGCAUGUAAGAAGGUAAAAUGGAAACAUUAAGCAAUAACUAAGCAUUAAUAAUAUUGGUGACAGAUGGACAUGUGAUUUUUGAUAAAGAAAUUAGUGAAUACUAGCGCUUUCGCCUGGUAUUGCUUAUUGUUGAUUCUGGAAAUUACUUUUUUGCCUUGCAUUGCAUAUUGUUGAUUUUGGAAAAUACUUUUAUGCCUUGCAUUGCAUAUUGUUGAUUUUGGAAAAUACUUUUAUGCAGAGUAUAUUUUUGGCAUUGACAACUCUAUGUUCUAUUGGCAUUUUGCAUUUAACCUCGUUUGCCUAAUUUUUAUGGUCCACCUGACAUAGCUAUUCUCUUGCCCACUUGUUUUCAAUGUUUUUGUAGAGAGCUUGUAAGUGGGUUGGAAGAAGGAGUAGGGUCUAGAAAGCAGAGAUUGAUAAGGGUAGAACUUGUAAGUGGGUUGCAAGCCGCAACAACGAGCCAAAGUUUACCUAUUCCUUUUCACAAGGUUUUGCAGGAAUUAUUUUUGACGGGUGUACGACAACCUAUCAGUGAUCCUAGGAAAAAGACAAAAAGAGGGAGUAGAUUAUGGAGAAACAUUUGCUCCUGUAGCAAAACUUACUACUCUGAGAGCUUUACUUGUUGUAGCUACAAUACAGGGCCGGCAUACACAUCAAAUGGAUGUGAAAAAUGCCUUUCUACAUGGAGAAUUAGAAGAAACAGUUUACAUGAAGAUGCCUCCACGAUAUGAAGGUCAAGGAUUCAGGUUCAAUAUACAAGCUCAGGGGGAGUAUGUUGGUUUAACUCAGCAGUCAAACAAGGUGUGCAAGCCGUUGAAGUCCUUGUAUGGACUUAAACAAGCUCCUAAGCAAUGGUUUGCCAAAUUGAGCUUAGUUUUCAAGCAACAUAACUCCAAUCAGUCCAAAAGUGAUUAUUCACUCUUCACUAAGCAAGAAGGUCAUGAUUUUGUUGUCGUGUUAGCUUACACUAGUAGAAAUUGUUGCGGUUUUGUCCAUACGUAGCAAUAUAUCACGUAAAAAGAAAAGGCAAAGUAUAAAAUAAAGAUAUUGCUGCGGUUUUGACCUAAAACCGCAGCAAUAUGGUGUCAACAAGAAACAUUUUGAAAAAAGUUGACUAUUUGACCAAACAUAUUGUUGCGGUUCUUGAGAAAACCGCAACAAUAUAUUAAAAAAUAGAUUUUAGUAUAUUGUUGCGGUUCUUGACAAAAACCGCAGCAAUAUUAUUAAAAAAUAUUAAAAAAAUAUAUAAAAGGCGCUACUUAGGGUUUUUUUUCCUCAAAUCCUUUCUCCUGUCACUUAGGCUCCUCUCACUCCUCCUCUUCCCUCUCACUCCUCUUCCUUCCCCUUCGAAUCUCACGCCUCUCCCUCUGCCUUCCCCUUCGGAUCUCACGCCUCUCAUCACCAUCGUAAUAUCCUCCUUCGAUCCCCUCGGAUCUCCUUCCACUUUCUCUGAAACUGUCGAGUCUCACUCCUCGAAAUACCGCCGGCUGUGCGUUUCCUCUCAUCAAAACCGCCGGCUGUAGCGGUUCGUCGAUGAAACGGGUUAAAACGAAAUCUGUCAAAGUUCGACAUCCGUUGAUUCCGGUUCGUCGCUGAAGUUUGUCGAGACUCGAGAGUUCUUCAUCGCCUUUGUUUGUCCUUCGAACCUCUGGAUCUCCUUGCAGACGAAGACUAUAAACUUCUUUGGCGGCUUUCGAGUUCUAUUUGUCCUUCACGAAGCUCCUUCGGCGGCUCUUCGAAUUCCUUUUUAGUUUUUUUUUCUGUUUUUUCCUUUCGAUAUAAAUUUCUGUAUUUUUUAUCUUCUUCAUUUUUAUUUUUAUUUCGAUUUAAAUCUAAAGGUUUGUUUUUUUUAUUUUCUUCAUUUUAAUUUUUGAUCUAGAUAUGAUGUUUAGGAUUGUCUUCAGUUGAUAUUUUAUGAAGUAGAAUGUUUUUGUUGAAUGUUGAAAUACAUUUGUUGGUCACAUUCCUUGAAUGAGCUUUGAUUUAGGUUAUGCUUAUGUUGUAUUUUCGCUGAUUGAUCUGUUUUAGUUACCUUUAAUUUUUAUUGCAUUUUAAGUAUUCUUAAUAUUGAAGAUUUUAAUUUUUUUUAAUUUUUUUUUAAAAAAAGUGCACAUAUUGCUGUGGGUUUGGCUCAAAACCGCAGCAAUAGGUGUACUUUUUUAACAUUACAAAAAUAAAUACUGUUGUGGUUUCGAUAAGGAACUGCAGCAAUAUGGUUACCCUAUUGCUGCGGUCAUAAACCGCAGCAAUAAAUAAUCUCCUAUUGUUGCGCCCUUAAUUGCUGCGCGGCUAAAACCGCCGCAAUAGGCCACUUUAUAACCGCAACAAUAAGCAUUUAUUCUACUAGUGUUAUGUUGAUGAUCUAAUUCUCACAGGAAACAACAUAGCUUCCAUUCAAGAAGUUAAGAGGUUCCUAAGCCAUCAAUUAAAAAUGAAAGGCCUAGGGGAGUUAAGAUACUUCCUAGGCAUUGAGGUAGAUAGAAGAUAAAAAGGCAUAUUUCUAUCUCAAAAGAAAUAUGUCACUGACUUGCUUGCUCAGUAUAGGAUGCAGAAUUGUAGGGUCUUGAAACUCCCUAUGGAUACUCAUGUGAAGCUCCUAUCUACUGUUGGGGAACUGCUUCCACAUCCUGAUGUGUAUCAAAGAUUAAUUGGAAAAUUAAUCUAUCUAACUAUCACUAGGCCUUAUUUCUUACACUGUCCAUGUCUUAAGUCAAUUCAUGCACUCACCAACUUCAGUGCACUUACAAGCUGCAAAAAGGGUGCUAAGGUACUUAGCUGGCUCUCUUGGCUAAGGCAUUUUACUUGCUUCAAAAUCUGCAACAUAUCUUCAAGUUUAAUGUGAUAGUGAUUGGGUUGGUUGCCCUAACACUAGGAGAUUAACCUCAGGUUUUUGCCUUCUCUUGGGUGAGUCUCAUGUUGCUUGGAAAUCCAAAAAGCAAUUUGUGGUAGCAAGAUCCACAGCAGACGCAGAGUAUAGGUCUUUAGCUAUGGCUACUUGUGAGGUUAUAUGGGUGAAACAGCUUUUGAAGGAACUAGGGAAGAAGAAACUUGGCUCUACUCCUGUAUUUUGUUACAAUCAAGCUGCUAUGGCUUUUAUUGCUAAUCAUGUGCAUCAUGAAAAGAAAAAAACAUGUGGGAAUAGAUUGUCAUUUCAUCUGUGAACAAGCUAGUGCAGGUACCAUUCAGCCUACUUAUGUUUAAUCUUCCAAGCAGAUUGCAGAUGUCCUAACCAAGGUUCUUAGUAUUGACCAACAUCAGUUCUUAUUGUCCAAGAUGGGAGUUGAGUCUACCUUCUAUCCUACCUUGAGGGGGGGGGGGGUUGUUAAGAUACAUGGUCCAUACCUCUCUAAUGGCCCAUGUACAACAGGCCCAGGUGGUGUAUGCUGGUUUGUGCUCAGCUGCAGCUAGAAAUACUAAGAAGAUCAACCUAGUAAUUUGUGUUAGUGCUCUCAUAAUUAUUUUUUGUCCUUAUGUAUGCAACAAUGUAAAGGCAUGAUGGAAUGAAUGAAAAGACAGUUGAGUUGAAAUCUCUAAAGCAUAA